rnacentral:misc_RNA from 1 species
UUUACUGUACCCGUAAACAAUUUAUCUCGAGUAGUACAUAAUAUAGAUAAAGAAGAAUUACACCAAGUUACAGAUAUGAGUGCUGGUACAAUGUCGAAUCAAAUUAUAUUAUCAUUAGAGAAAGAAGCUGGUAUCAUUAAAAAUGAGUCAUCUGAAAAUAAUUCUAUGAAUAUUAUAAUACCUGUAAAUUUUAAUCCAACUUCUUCUACAAUUACUUCCAAUACAAUAGUUAAUGUUACAAUACAAGAUAAUAGCACAUUUAAACAUAUUAUAAAUGAGAAUAGAGAAUCUAGUUUAUUACAAAGUGAAAAUAGUAACGUAGAAAAUCAAAUUUUAAACACAAAUGAAAAAUUAGAAAAAAAUAAUUGCUUAUUAGAUUCUAUGUAUAAAAUAAUAAGAGAUCAUUCAAUGGGUGAAGUUGAAAAACAAACUAAUAUUCAAUUUAACAGUAGCAACGAUAAUAUAAAGAAAUCUGUGCAUCAGAAAACGAACGAUACAUUAAGUCCUUAUACAACGUAUUGUAAUGAUGAUUUAAAAGAAAAAGAAACUGCACAUAAUCAUCAAACUCUAACUUCAUUAAUAUCAUCUUUCGUGUAUGCAGAUAUGAUAGAAGAUGAUUCAUUUGUAAAAACGACAUAUAAAGUCCAGCAAGAAACGCAAUCUAGUGAAAAUGUUAUGGACGUGAAGUCAGUAAUUGAUAUGGUUAAUGUACAAGCAACAUGUAUUCAAUGUCCUGAAAUAUGUAUCACCAACGAUGAACAGAUAGUGCAACAAUCUGAAAAUGAUCUUGAAUGUUAUUUCGAAAAUAAUAAUAUUCAAGUAGGUAAUGUUAUGAUUAACAAAGAAAAGAAUAAUCAACACGAUUCAGAUAAAAUUCCAAAUAAAAUAAUUGAAAUUCAUGAAAAUGUUUUUGAAAAUAAACUUAACAAUGGAAGACUUACUAAUACUUCUAUAGAACUAGAAGUUAUUCAAAGAGAUAAACAAUUAGAUAAAAAAGACAAUAUUGAGAAUGAUUCAGCUGCAUGUAUAAUAAAGUCUAAGAAAAAUUCAGCUAUGGAUAUAAAUGAAUGUGCUAAUACUCAUAGUAGCAACAAUCAGAUUCUUGGCAGAUCAUGUGUUUUUUCACCGACAUUAAUUUCUGCUUACAAUCAAAAUAAAACGUGUAUUGGAGAAAAUAAUAUUACUCCAAUAGCUGGCACGACAGACUUAACAUGCAACAUGAAUAUAACACAAAAUAAUGAGAAAUUUUUGAAAGAAGAAGUUGCAUUGGAGAAAAACACUAGAGAAAAUUCCAGUCUUCAGGAGGAUAAAUUUUCUUUGCUAAUAAGUAAAUUAAAGAAUCAUAUGCUUAGUGACGAUUGCAUAUGGAAUUUAUAUUAUGAGAAUAUAGAUAAACAAAUGAUAGUAGUUGGUUUUAUUUCUACAUCUUUACUGAUAAUAAUAAAAACUCAGAAUGAAGUCAACACUGACACGUGUAGGAUCAAAGAUGUUAAUGUAAUUUCACGAUUAGAAAAUGAUGAAAAUUUGUUGUUAAGUAUUGCACACAAAUUACUAAAGGAGAAAAUAAAUUUAGAAUAUAUUCGUCAAUCAUAUAUAUAUGAAGAAGACAUUAUUCCCUUGUUAAAUCAUAUUUCAGAAGAUGUGAAAUUCAUAUUAGAUUUUAUAUUUGAUUUACAAAAAUUGGAUGAUACAAAUUUAAUGGAAAUAAGUACAGAAAGCAUAACAUUUAUAUUAAGAAGUAAAUGCAUGGAAAUUAUAUUGAAAAUUACAAUGGAUAUUAAAUUAUUUGAUAAAAUAAAUUCAUCACACAUCAAGAUCGUUUCUAUUUUGGGUACUGUAAUAGAGGAAGAAAUUCAAGAGUUACUUUUAAAUGUGAAAAGAGAUUAUAAAUUUUUAAGGAGAUACAUGUCUGACAUUAAGGAUUAUAUUGAUAUAAUAGAACAAGUUAAUUUUGCAAAAGAAAUGCAAAAUGAAUUACAAAAAGAAACAAAAAGAAAAGGAAAUUAUAAAUGAUUGAAGUGUGAAAUAUUUAUAGAUGGAUCGAACUAAUGUACAGAUGUAAAAGAUUUAAAUAUUUAACUAUAUGUGGAAAAUAAUUGUAUUGAUAUUAUGUAGAAUGUGAUAUAAAACAUAUUUUUAUAAAAUUUUUUUAUAAUUAUAUUGUAAUUAUAUUAAGAGAAAGUUACUAACGAAGAAAAUUCGUUGGGAAUUUUUAAUAUUUUAUAUGUAAAAAGAGCAGGUAUAUACAUACAAACAGGUUGAUCGACUAGCUUCGAUGAAGCCGGUUCGAACUAUGCAGGUUUUUGUUAAUGCACUUGCAGUUCUUUGGGUAGUAGCGUGUGAACAACUGGCUUCCCAUAGAAUCAUUCGAGUUUCCGUUUAAUUCUUAAGAAAUAAUUAUCAUCGAUACACGUAUGAUUAGAAUUACCGAGAAUGUGCAAUCAAAAAGUUCUUCAUUUCUUUAUAUUAUUGACAAUUAAUUUCAUGACAAUAAAUAUAUAAUCUGAUAAGGAAUUCAAAAUUAUAUUCCAUUUUAUAGAAUCGAAACAACAAUCUCACGUCCAUACGUUUAUUAUAAACAAAAAAAAAAUGAAGAAUUUCGAAAAGCAAAAUAUUAUUCAACGAAAAGACUAUGAAACAUCCGAGGUACUUUCAAAGCGAUAGUGAAACUGUUGAAGCAUGAAAGGUAAGAAUAACUGCAACAAUAUUGCGUUGGUUUUACUCCCACGUGUUCUACGAACGUGUAAGUAAUACCUCAUAGGAAGGUUAAACAUGAAUAAUGAAAGUUACAUUUCUUGUUUUUUUAAAUAAAUUCAAAAUUUAAUUUAUAUCAAAUUACGCGUAUUAAAUAAUCAUUAUCGCAAAUAGAAUAUAUGUAUAUUUAAUAGUUCAUCUAUGCAUGUAUCAAUGUAAAUAUAGAAAUAUUAGUUAAAA